UUUAUGUCUUUUGCUGCCUGGAAUGUCACACGCGUGUCUCUGUUUGCUGUGGGGUCUGCAUCCCGGAUUCUGCAUGCAGCUCGUCAUCACAGACGCUACACCUCGUCCUCCUCUGGAUCUUCUGCCUUUCUUGAGAAUCUCUCAGAUCAUUAAGUGCCCUGUGAUGGGCUGGCCCCCCAUCCUGGGUUGUUCCCUGCCUCGUGCCCCGUGCCGGAUAGGCUCUGGACCCCCCGCGACCCAGUAGGAUAAGCGUUUUGGAAAAUGGAUGGAUGGAUGGAUAUCAAUGUCCUUACAAUGAUUUUAUUAUAAUUUAGUGCCUUUGUCACCAUUCAGCCAAACAUUUUCCAUAUCUACUUAUAAGGAAAUUCAAAAUAAAGGAAAAGGCCCCGAGGCAAUGAAGCAAUGCAACAACUAAGGGAAGUGUUCGACGUCUCCACAUUUUGUCAGACUGGUGCUGCAGCAAGUCGUAAAGACAGCACAGAGGAUCAUGGGGAGAUUCGGGGGGACAUCGACACCAGGAGGUGCAGGGAAAAGCAAAGCCUCCUGCAUCAUCAGCCCCCCCCAAACUCACUCUGUGUGUCCCUUUACCAUCCGACAGGAGGGUCAUCCCAAACUCUAUAAGGUUUAGGUUGGGGAUUGUGGGGGCCAGGUCAUCUGUCACAGUACUCCAUCUCUUUCUUUGUUCACAAGAGAAUGCAGCACUGUCAUAACCUCAAGGUGUGCUUAGGAUUAUUUUCUGGUUGAAAAGCAAAUAAUUUUCAGUAGGUGUGCCCAGAUUUUUGACUGAUACCGGAUGUGUGUCUGGCAUGCAAACUACACAGGGUCCUGGUGCUCUGUGACCAGGGAUCUUUAAUGUUUUAGAACCAGCCUUCCAAAGAUCUUCAUGAUGUGUGAAAUGUCAGUGACUGGUCUGAAGGUCUUAAAGGUUCUUUGGCACUGGGGUGUCUUUUGGGG